GAUGAACGCUAGCGGCAGGCUUAAUACAUGCAAGUCGAGGGGCAGCGGGGUGUAGCAAUACACUGCCGGCGACCGGCAAACGGGUGCGGAACACGUACACAACCUUCCUUAAAGUGGGGG
rnacentral:rRNA from 1 species